AUUGAACACUGGCGGCAGGCCUAACACAUGCAAGUCGAACGAGAGGCGGACGGGUGAGUAAUGCCUGGGAAUCUAGCUUAUGGAGGGGGAUAACUACGGGAAACUGUAGCUAAUACCGCGUACCAUAGGAUGAGCACCAGUGGGAUUAGGUAGUUGGUGAGGUAAAGGUUCACCAAGCCGACGACCUCUAGCUGGUGCGAGAGGAUGAACAGCCACACUGUGAUGGAGAGACGUCCCCGACUCCGACGGGAGGCAGCAGUGGGGAGUGUUGCGCGAUGGGGGCAACCUGACGCAGCCAUGCCGCGGGAAUGAAGAAGGCCUUCGGGUUGUAAAGUUCUUUCGGUAGCGAAGCGUUAACUACAGAAGAAGCACCGGCUAACUCCGUGCCAGCAGCCGCGGUAAUUC
rnacentral:rRNA from 1 species